AACGAACGCUGGCGGCAGGCCUAACACAUGCAAGUCGAGCGAGGACUUCGGUCCUAGCGGCGGACGGGUGAGUAACGCGUGGGAACGUGCCCUUUGCUUCGGAAUAGCCCUGGGAAACUGGGAGUAAUACCGGAUGAGCCCCUUGGGGGUAAGAUUUAUCGGCGAAGGAUCGGCCCGCGUUGGAUUAGGUAGUUGGUGGGGUAAUGGCCUACCAAGCCGACGAUCCAUAGCUGGUUUGAGAGGAUGAUCGGCCACACUGGGACUGAGACACGGCCCAGACUCCUACGGGAGGCAGCAGUGGGGAAUCUUAGACAAUGGGGGAAACCCUGAUCUAGCCAUGCCGCGUGAGCGAUGAAGGCCUUAGGGUUGUAAAGCUCUUUCAGCUGGGAAGAUAAUGACGGUACCAGCAGAAGAAGCCCCGGCUAACUCCGUG
rnacentral:rRNA from 1 species